rnacentral:lncRNA from 1 species
UGUGCAGAGCCCAGGCGCGUGGGUCGGUGUCGGGUGUGUGUGUACGUCUGUGUGUGUAAUGAAACUGGACGCCUUCCUUCCCGGCGAUCUUGACUUAACCUGUCAGCAGAGGGCUUGAGGUUAGACCACAGGUUGAACCUAGGUGGCUGCUGGAGAGAAACACUCUGUCUUCCUGCUUUGAGGACAGCUGAAGUCUUGCCACUUCUUCUGGAUGCUCUGACCAUCAGUAAGCCACCUCAGUCUCACCCUCCGCAGAAUGCAGGCCCACUCCGUUGCUGAAGGGCCUCCUCCUUGGGCCAGGGCGCCUGCUUCUGCCAGUGGCAUCAUCACCCCACUCCUCAGCCGCCAGUCAUCAGAGACACGGUCUGACUUUGUUACCCCGGCUGGAGUGCAGUGGUGCAAUCAUGGCUCACUGCAGCCUUAACCUCCUGGGCUCAAGUGAUCCUCUCGCCAAGGCUAGGAUAAGUAGCUAGGACUACAGAUGCGCCCCAUCACGCCCAGCUAAUUUUACAACUUCUGUAGAGAUGGAGUGUUGCUGGGUUGCCCAGGCUGGUCUUGAAUUCCUGGGCUCAAGCGAUCCUCCUGUGUCCGGAAUUGGUGGGUUCUUGGUCUCACUGACUUCAAGAAUGAAGCCGCGGACCCUCGCGAGUCUGUAUCCACCAGCUACUCUUCCAGAUUCAUGAGGCAAGGCCUGCCUGCUCACCUGGCUGGCCCCAAGCACCUCUUCAACCUGUUGCCACCGUCCUGCCUUGCUGCCCUUCUCAGCUCAUCCAGCAGGGUCUCCAAGUCGUGGAAACAGAAGCACAUAUACACACAUGCUCAUAUGUACAUGCCCACAGUCACAUAAGCACACCGAGAAACACCAUCGCAGACAUGUUCUCACAAGCACAUGUGCAUAACACUCACUACCCCUCACGCGUAUACACAUUAAUACACACACUCAUGCACACUCAGUCUUACACACACAGACACACAGCCAUAAUCACUGUUGUUGGUUGAAUUGUGCCCCCCCAUCCCCACCAAAAAGAUAAGUUGGAGUCCUAACCCCCAGUACCUGGGGAUGUGACCGUAGUUGGAAAUAGGGUGUUUGUAGAUGUAAUCAAAUUAAGAUGAGAUCUUACUGGAUUAGAGUGGGCCUUAAAUCCAGUGACUGGUGUCCUUAUAAGGAGAAAAAGAUUUGAAAACAGAGACAUGGAGACACAGAGCAGAAGGCCAUGUGAUGAUGGAGUCAGAGAUUGGAGUGAUGCAGCUAUGAGCCGAGAAAUACCAAGGUGCUGGCAGCCCCCAGAAGCAAGGAGAGAGGCAAGGAACAAUCUCCAUCAGAGCCUCUGGAAGAAACAGACUCUGCCAACACCUUGAUUUCAGACUUUUGGCCUCCUUCACUGUGCGAGAAUACGUUUCUGUUGUUUUAAACUACUGAGUCACCAAGUCUGUGGUACUGUGUUAUGGCAGCCCCGGCAACAAAUCCAAUCACACACACACACACACACACACACACACACACACACACACACACACACACAGCUGGCUCCAGGCUCAGUGAUGAGCUCAGAGGAGUUCCCCUUGGGAGCUGCUCUUUCUCUGUCUUCCUUCCUUAGUGAUUGGUCCAGUGGAUCCACAAAAGCUCAUGGCCCAGAGCAGGAGCCCAGUCAUUUUUAAUUCCUCUUCCCUGGAGUUCUUAACCAUGCGUUGCCCUCAAAAUCUGCUCUCAAGAUUUGGGUUGCCAUAUUUAGGAGCACCAGAAAACAUACAGGAAUGCUGUGUCUGCUUGCAUCAUAUUAAUUAAAAACUGGAAAUAACCUAAAUGUCCCAGAAUAGGUACAUAAACUGUGGCAUAUCCACUUAAUGGAAUACUACUCAGCAAUACAAAAGGAAAACCUAGUGUUACUUGAGCAACAUGGAUGAACUUCACAGACAUAAUAUUGCACAGCACGAGGCAGACACAAAAGUGUGCAUAUGCUAUGAUUCCAUUUACAUGAGAUUCAAGAACAGGCAAAGCAGAUCUAUGGGGAUAGAAGUCAGAAUAGUGGUUACCUCUGGAAGGUGGAAUUGACUGGGAGGGGCUUCAGGGAACCUCCUGGGGUGCUGAAAACAUUCUGUGCUUGCACCGGGUGGUGGUUAUGUGGGCAUUACAUAAAAUUCACCAAGCUGCACCCUUAAUGAUUUGUACAAUUUGAUGCACAAAUCUAACAUCUCAAGAAGAAUAAAUUUUACAAAGUACCUAAGAAGCAA